rnacentral:rRNA from 1 species
CCUUAUAGUGGGGGAUAGCCUUUCGAAAGGAAGAUUAAUACCGCAUAAGAUUGUAGUAUCGCAUGAUAUAGCAAUUAAAGGAGCAAUCCGCUAUAAGAUGGACCCGCGUCGCAUUAGCUAGUUGGUGAGGUAAUGGCUCACCAAGGCGACGAUGCGUAGCCGACCUGAGAGGGUGAUCGGCCACACUGGAACUGAGACACGGUCCAGACUCCUACGGGAGGCAGCAUG